UGGGGAAUAUUGGACAAUGGGCGGAAGCCUGAUCCAGCCAUGCCGCGUGUGUGAAGAAGGCCUUUUGGUUGUAAAGCACUUUAAGCGAGGAGGAGGCUACUUGGAUUAAUACUCUAGGAUAGUGGACGUUACUCGCAGAAUAAGCACCGGCUAACUCUGUGCCAGCAGCCGCAGUAAUACAGAGGGUGCGAGCGUUAAUCGGAUUUACUGGGCGUAAAGCGUGCGUAGGCGGCUUCUUAAGUCGGAUGUGAAAUCCCUGAGCUUAACUUAGGAAUUGCAUUCGAUACUGGGAAGCUAGAGUAUGGGAGAGGAUGGUAGAAUUCCAGGUGUAGCGGUGAAAUGCGUAGAGAUCUGGAGGAAUACCGAUGGCGAAGGCAGCCAUCUGGCCUAAUACUGACGCUGAGGUACGAAAGCAUGGGGAGCAAACAG
rnacentral:rRNA from 1 species